AUAUUAUCAUCAGCAAGGAUGGUGACAAAUUCCUAGUGAAAACAGAAAGCACGUUCAAAAAGCAUGAAUUCUGCUUCAGAUUGGGAGAAACAUUUGAUGAAGAUACGAUAGAUGGACGAAAAACUAAAAUCCAAGAGCUACACAAGAGCUUUUUCUUUCCUGCUUUUCCAGGUGAAACUGUGUUAUAGUAGAAUAUUAGUCACACAGGUAGGAAAUACCUUUUCUUUCCUUUCAGAAAUUAUAGUCCAUUUUUCUGCUUUUAAAAAAAAACAGCAAAGAGCUCUUUAAAAAAACAAGUAAAAAUGGAGGAUCAUGACAUCUAAAGAACCUGUAAACAACUGUAAGUAAAGAAUCAUGCAUGCACAGUGAAUACCUCAUGUGGAGAAUCUCUGCGUUUUGUCCCUCCUUAGAGAAGUACUCGUUUUUCUCACAGUAUCUAUGUGCCUGCCACUGGUUUCCACUGACUGCACUGGCCUCCAGAGUCCUGCUGCCCUCCAGAAGUUUUCCUGCCAUUGGCUGUAAUGUCUAUGACUGAUAGGAGCUGCUGUUCAACACAGCUGGAGGGCCAGGUUGGAGGAAUCUGGUUACACUCAAAUAAACCUACUCAUGAAUUCGCAUGGCUUUGGUUUUGCUCUGCCAGACUUGGUCAUACAUAGAGAUCCAUUGAACUCAUUGAAACUUGACUUUAAGUGCUUUUAAUUCAGAGAGUCAAGUGUAGGUAUGGCCAAGUCAAGAUGACUUUCUUUUAUUCAUGCAAUGCUGCAAUUUUAUUUUAGGUAUUUCUACCUCUCCUUCCCAGGGCAACGACUUUUAGGGUAUCAUAACAUACUUAACAUAUACGGCUACAAAGUAGCAAUUCAAGACAACCAGACUAACAGCACAAUCCUGUGCUUGCCUGCUUAGAAAUACGUCGCACUGAGUUCAAUUACAUCAGCAGAAGUGCCAGACCCUUAUCACUUUAGAUGAUGAUAAUGUACUGACCCAACACCAGCAAUGGAACGGCAAAGAGACCACAAUAACAAGAAAGAUAGUUGAUGGGAAAAUGAUUGUGGAAUGUGCUAUGAAUGGUGUCAAAUGUACCC